rnacentral:rRNA from 1 species
UUUCGCAAUGCCCGAAAGGGUGACGAAGCGACGCCGCGUGAGUGAGGAAGGCCUUCGGGUUGUAAAGCUCUGUCAGGAGUUAAGAAAUGUAAGUGUGUUAAUACCACAUUUAUUUGACGAAAGCUCCAAAGGAAGCCACGGCUAACUCUGUGCCAGUAGCCGCGGUAAUACAGAGGUGGCAAGCGUUGUUCGGAAUUAUUGGGCGUAAAGAGCACGUAGGUGGGUUUGUAAGUCAGAUGUGAAAGCCUUCUGUUCAACGGAAGAAUUGCAUCUGAAACUGCGAGUCUUGAGUGUAGGAGGGGAGAAUGGAACUUCUGGUGGAGCGGUGAAAUGCGUAGAUAUCAGAAGGAACGCCGGCGGCGAAAGCGAUUCUCUGGCCUAUUACUGACACUCAGUGUGCGAAAGCUAGGGGAGCAAACGGGAUUAGAUACCCCGGUAGUCCUAGCCGUAAACGAUGGGCACUAAGUAGAGGGGUUUUA